UUGCGGAGGAGCCGACACCUGAGCUGGGCUUUGAAGGCAAGAGCCAUCUAUUAAAUGGCACGAUGUGCUGGAAACAAACUCCAAGCAGGACUGGGAGAUUCACAAUCAGCUCACUAGAGAAGCCAUUGAAGAAACCGAGCCCAUCACCCUGGAGAAAACAAGACCUGGAGUGGAGUGAUUCCAUCCAUGUUGGGAUGAGCACCGAGCAGACACCAUGUGGUCGGAGAAGAAGAAAGAGGGGUAGCAAGGAGACAAACCAGGAAACAUCGGCACUCAUCUCUGCUCUCAGGUGGACAGCUGUCCUGCCCCAGCCAGGCUUCAUGCCUGUCUACAGAAGACAGGUUCCAUAAAGCCAGGGUAGAUGAUGGACUGGGGCUAAAGGGAGCUACAGAGCUGUUCGAGAAAGGGCCAGCUUUUGCUAUGAUGCCUAUG
rnacentral:lncRNA from 1 species